rnacentral:rRNA from 1 species
GCGAUUACUAGCGAUUCCGACUUCAUGAAGUCGAGUUGCAGACUUCAAUCCGAACUGAGACGACCUUUAUGAGAUUCGCUUCACAUCACUGUGUCGCUGCUCUUUGUGGUCGCCAUUGUAGUACGUGUGUAGCCCAGGCCAUAAGGGGCAUGAUGAUUUGACGUCAUCCCCACCUUCCUCCGGUUUGUCACCGGCAGUCUCGCAUGAGUCCCCAACUUGAUGCUGGUAACAUGCGACAAGGGUUGCGCUCGUUGCGGGACUUAACCCAACAUCUCACGACACGAGCUGACGACAACCAUGCACCACCUGUGUGAUCCAUAAUUAUCUCUCUAUCUCUAGAGCCUUUGCAUCCAUGUCAAGGCCUGGUAAGGUUCUUCGCGUUGCUUCGAAUUAAACCACAUACUCCACCGCUUGUGCGGGCCCCCGUCAAUUCCUUUGAGUUUCACACUUGCGUGCAUACUCCCCAGGCGGAGAACUUAUUGCGUUAACUGCAGCACUGA